GGGCCGGUAGAUCAGCGGUAGAUCGUCUGGUUUGCAUCCAGAAGGACACGAGUUCGAUUCUCGUCCGGUCCACCA
rnacentral:tRNA from 1 species